rnacentral:rRNA from 1 species
GAUGAACGCUGGCGGCGUGCCUAAUACAUGCAAGUCGAGCGAACAGACGAGGAGCUUGCUCCUCUGACGUUAGCGGCGGACGGGUGAGUAACACGUGGAUAACCUACCUAUAAGACUGGGAUAACUUCGGGAAACCGGAGCUAAUACCGGAUAAUAUAUUGAACCGCAUGGUUCAAUAGUGAAAGACGGUUUUGCUGUCACUUAUAGAUGGAUCCGCGCCGCAUUAGCUAGUUGGUAAGGUAACGGCUUACCAAGGCAACGAUGCGUAGCCGACCUGAGAGGGUGAUCGGCCACACUGGAACUGAGACACGGUCCAGACUCCUACGGGAGGCAGCAGUAGGGAAUCUUCCGCAAUGGGCGAAAGCCUGACGGAGCAACGCCGCGUGAAUGAUGAAGGUCUUCGGAUCGUAAAACUCUGUUAUUAGGGAAGAACAAAUGUGUAAGUAACUAUGCACGUCUUGACGGUACCUAAUCAGAUAGCCACGGCUAACUACGUG